UGGCUCAGUUGGUAGAGCAAAGCGCUUGCAACACUAGGGUUGUGGGUUUGAUUCCCAU
rnacentral:tRNA from 1 species